rnacentral:rRNA from 1 species
CCAGACUCCUACGGGAGGCAGCAGUGGGGAAUAUUGCACAAUGGGGGGAACCCUGAUGCAGCGACGCCGCGUGGGCGAGGAAGUAUUUCGGUAUGUAAAGCCCUAUCGGCAGGGAAGAAGAAAUGACGGUACCUGAAGAAGAAGCCCCGGCUAACUACGUGCCAGCAGCCGCGGUAAUACGUAGGGGGCGAGCGUUAUCCGGAUUUACUGGGUGUAAAGGGGGCGCAGACGGCGAUGCAAGCCAGGAGUGAAAGCCCGGGGCCCAACCCCGGGACUGCUCUUGGAACUGCGUGGCUGGAGUGCAGGAGGGGCAGGCGGAAUUCCUGGUGUAGCGGUGAAAUGCGUAGAUAUCAGGAGGAACACCGGUGGCGAAGGCGGCCUGCUGGACUGCAACUGACGUUGAGGCCCGAAAGCGUGGGGAGCAAACAGGAUUAGAUACCCGAGUAGC